AGACCAAAGAAGGGGUAAUGUUUUCCUACACCUACACCACUGAAGCACCUCUGCAGGAAAAGAAAUCUGCAUGUGUAUGUAAAGCAAUCUGUCCCUAACAGAGGACACGACUGGCACAGCAUGAGUUGACCAAUCCAGUGUGGAAGGGGCUGCAAUUACCAGAACCCUUAGGGAAGCUCGGCUCCACUGUGUCCGCAGCAGGACACAGCUGCCGGCACUUAACUGGCCACCAAGCCUCGGGGACACGGGCAGGCCCGCCUGACAGGCUGGGAAGCUGGCCUGGGGCCACAUUUUCAAUUGUGCUGACAUGAAGACGCUUCAUAGGCAAGAUCUCCUCCUAUCUGAGGCUCUCGACCAGCAGACAACUAAGGAAGGUUCUUGGACUCUGCAAUCAAUAGAAAUUUCUUGAUAAGAGAACAGAUGAGUAAUUCAGACAAGACUUUACUGGGACUUGUGCUGCAGCAGUGAGGAGCAAGAAUAAGCAACAGGUGUCCUUGCUGGCUCCCUGAGUGGGGGUAGUGAGCAGAUUAAAGGUUAUUUGGCUGGAGACGACCCAGCCCUGUGUUCUGUGGACUUGAUGGUAGAGUUAGUGGCAAUCUUCAAGAGGACUUAUGUCAAGGGAUCCCUUCUAGGACUGCUGCUGCCAGUACCCCUCUCCCCACAGCGAGCCACUGCGGACCUGUGCCUCCCCAA